rnacentral:lncRNA from 1 species
UCCCCUGGUGCUCUUACAAAUGGAGAGAAUGGAAUGAGUUGCACGACAUUUAUUACAUAAAUAACCGUUGAUACUCGGUACGUGUCCGAUCGUCUACCAAUGUCGGCGAUGUAGUAGUAGACCUUUAUUGAUGGUUGGCGUGUGGCUCAUGAUGCGAUUACCUGCAUAACAGCCACUUUGAAGGAUUCAUCCAUCAACUUAAACUUGUCAGCUGGGGCGGCAUCGAGGACAGCUUUAGCUGCUUUCUUGUAGGCAAGUGAAGUUGCAGCAACUUUCUUCUCAUCUCCUUGGGCCAUCCCGAGAGCAGUUAUGGCGAAGAUUCUCCGCUUCCACGUGGCAGCUUCAACUUCAUCCUUUUUUGCUGGUGGGGCAGCAGCCACAACGGAGUCGGCGGCCUCGUUGAUGGCCUGAGCUGCCUCAUCCAAGCGCUUAUCGACAGGGGCGAGGAGGGCCUUGUUGAAGCUCUUCUCGACGGGGGCGUCGCAUUCCACUUGCACUAACACGGCCGAUGCCGCGAUGGCUGCAAGGAGUUGGGCGACGGCUUUGGCCAUUGCUAAUGAACUGGACAGGGAUCUUUCAAUGUUGGAAGAUGUUGCUACAGCGUGCGGAUUUGCUGUGUGAGUUUGUAGGGAUCAUCGGGGCUUUAAAUAGGGAAACAUGUACCAUGAUAACCAAAGGCCAAGAGAGCUUCAUGGUCCAAAAUUGAUUGGUUGCAUGCAUGUGUGCCAAGUGUUCGGUCCGCAGUGCAUGCUAUCUCUUGUCUUGACUGAGCCUGCAGGAUCCAAAUCUGGACUUCCACAACCCCGAUAUGAAAUUUAUAUGUACGCAAGAUGUUAAUGGCUUAUAACACAUUGUCCGGUUGGCAAUAGGUACGCGAAUGAGCAUGAACGACGUGUCGAGGGGUGUUGUCAAAGAAAAACAAAGGUAAGAACCACUUUGGCAACAAAUUCGACAAGGUCAUCAGCGAUUCUUAUACGAGUCUACGCAACGGUCACUAAAGUUCCAAUAGCAUGUGAAGCUAUAAACAUAUCAUUCAGGUUCCUAGGCAUCAAACUUCGCCAAUGUUACUUAGGGUGUGUUUGUGAGGAGGGGAAAAGAGAAUAUACGCAAAAAAGGGUGAGUCAUCAGCGUAUGAUUAGUUGAGUGUUAAUUAUUUUAUACCUUAAAAAUGGAUUAGUAGGAUUUUUUAACCAACUUUUGUGUUGAAUUGUCUUGCGAAAAACACACCGUUUAGCAGUUCGAGAAGCGUGCGCGCGGCGAACGAGGGAUUUUUUUCUCCGGAUGCCAAAAAGGCAGCCUUAGAGCGUAUAGAGCAAACGAGAAGUACAUGUCGUGGACAUCUAUGGUGAAUAUGCCACGUUACUCGCUAAGGGUUACGACGAAGCAGUCGUAUUUGAGAUAGGAAGUGCUUUGCACUUGGACAGCGCCGGGUAUGAUGCUCUUGUUCUAGUUUUAGCCGCUCAUAUGGUACUUAUGGCGGAAAAAAAGACAUGGCGGGUUGUCGUAAGUCCUAAAAAGAAUUCGGAUGAAAAAAUCAUGCCCGUUUUACUGAAGGGCACGCCGAAUAGGGAGCUACGUACAUAAAUAUUUCUUUGGCUAACUCUUUGAAUAGGUCCAGCGGCUGAAACAAGGAGGCUAGCGCAGUUGUGCUAUUGAUUCAAGGCGGUUUGCAACCUAUCUAAAUGCAAGAUGCCUAGGAAGCGGGAUAUUUAACAUGGAGGUUUUGGGCAAACCGAAAGGUCUCGUCACAAGUCCUAUGGUUAUUUUACAUGGAAUCUCGGCAAAUAACAGUCGCCCAACAACAGUCUUAUAUGUGUGCAUAUAUCGAAGCGUUGAUGCACGCAAGCUGGUCCGGUUUAUGUUAUUUCUUACAUAAGAUAUUUUUACUCCAUACUUUUGUUUAAAGAAUCAUUCAAAGGAUUUCAUGGAAAAAAAAAGUUCCGCCAAGUGCCAAGGAUCGACAUUUUGAACUAGAAAUGUUAGAUGGCACCGGAUUAUUUUUUUUCCACCUGGUGCUCUUACAAAUGGAGAGAAUGGAAUGAGUAGAAUUGAUUGCACGACAUUUAUUACAUAAAUAACCGUUGAUACUCGGUACGUGUCCGGUCGUCUACCAAUGUCGGCGAUGUAGUAGUAGACCUUUAUUGAUGGUUGGCGUGUGGCUCAUGAUGCGAUUACCUGCAUAACAGCCACUUUGAAGGAUUCAUCCAUCAACUUAAACUUGUCAGCUGGGGCGGCAUCGAGGACAGCUUUAGCUGCUUUCUUGUAGGCAAGUGAAGUUGCAGCAACUUUCUUCUCAUCUCCUUGGGCCAUCCCGAGAGCAGUUAUGGCGAAGAUUCUCCGCUUCCACGUGGCAGCUUCAACUUCAUCCUUUUUUGCUGGUGGGGCAGCAGCCACAACGGAGUCGGCGGCCUCGUUGAUGGCCUGAGCUGCCUCAUCCAAGCGCUUAUCGACAGGGGCGAGGAGGGCCUUGUUGAAGCUCUUCUCGACGGGGGCGUCGCAUUCCACUUGCACUAACACGGCCGAUGCCGCGAUGGCUGCAAGGAGUAGGGCGACGGCUUUGGCCAUUGCUAAUGAACUGAACAGGGAUCUUUCAAUGUUGGAAGAUGUUGCUACAGCGUGCGGAUUUGCUGUGUGAGUUUGUAGGGAUCAUCGGGGCUUUAAAUAGGGAAACAUGUACCAUGAUAACCAAAGGCCAAGAGAGCUUCAUGGUCCAAAAUUGAUUGGUUGCAUGCAUGUGUGCCAAGUGUUCGGUCCGCAGUGCAUGCUAUCUCUUGUCUUGACUGAGCCUGCAGGAUCCAAAUCUGGACUUCCACAACCCCGAUAUGAAAUUUAUAUGUACGCAAGAUGUUAAUGGCUUAUAACACAUUGUCCGGUUGGCAAUAGGUACGCGAAUGAGCAUGAACGACGUGUCGAGGGGUGUUGUCAAAGAAAAACAAAGGUAAGAACCACUUUGGCAACAAAUUCGACAAGGUCAUCAGCGAUUCUUAUACGAGUCUACGCAACGGUCACUAAAGUUCCAAUAGCAUGUGAAGCUAUAAACAUAUCAUUCAGGUUCCUAGGCAUCAAACUUCGCCAAUGUUACUUAGGGUGUGUUUGUGAGGAGGGGAAAAGAGAAUAUACGCAAAAAAGGGUGAGUCAUCAGCGUAUGAUUAGUUGAGUGUUAAUUAUUUUAUACCUUAAAAAUGGAUUAGUAGGAUUUUUUAACCAACUUUUGUGUUGAAUUGUCUUGCGAAAAACACACCGUUUAGCAGUUCGAGAAGCGUGCGCGCGGCGAACGAGGGAUUUUUUUCUCCGGAUGCCAAAAAGGCAGCCUUAGAGCGUAUAGAGCAAACGAGAAGUAAAUGUCGUGGACAUCUAUGGUGAAUAUGCCACGUUACUCGCUAAGGGUUACGACGAAGCAGUCGUAUUUGAGAUAGGAAGUGCUUUGCACUUGGACAGCGCCGGGUAUGAUGCUCUUGUUCUAGUUUUAGCCGCUCAUAUGGUACUUAUGGCGGAAAAAAAGACAUGGCGGGUUGUCGUAAGUCCUAAAAAGAAUUCGGAUGAAAAAAUCAUGCCCGUUUUACUGAAGGGCACGCCGAAUAGGGAGCUACGUACAUAAAUAUUUCUUUGGCUAACUCUUUGAAUAGGUCCAGCGGCUGAAACAAGGAGGCUAGCGCAGUUGUGCUAUUGAUUCAAGGCGGUUUGCAACCUAUCUAAAUGCAAGAUGCCUAGGAAGCGGGAUAUUUAACAUGGAGGUUUUGGGCAAACCGAAAGGUCUCGUCACAAGUCCUAUGGUUAUUUUAUAUGGAAUCUCGGCAAAUAACAGUCGCCCAACAACAAUCUUAUAUGUGUGCAUAUAUCGAAGCGUUGAUGCACGCAAGCUGGUCCGGUUUAUGUUAUUUCUUACAUAAGAUAUUUUUACUCCAUACUUUUGUUUAAAGAAUCAUUCAAAGGAUUUCAUGGAAAAGAAAAGUUCCGCCAAGUGCCAAGGAUCGACAUUUUGAACUAGAAAUGUUAGAUGGCACCGGAUUAUUUUUUUUUCCCCUGGUGCUCUUACAAAUGGAGAGAAUGGAAUGAGUUGCACGACAUUUAUUACAUAAAUAACCGUUGAUACUCGGUACGUGUCCGAUCGUCUACCAAUGUCGGCGAUGUAGUAGUAGACCUUUAUUGAUGGUUGGCGUGUGGCUCAUGAUGCGAUUACCUGCAUAACAGCCACUUUGAAGGAUUCAUCCAUCAACUUAAACUUGUCAGCUGGGGCGGCAUCGAGGACAGCUUUAGCUGCUUUCUUGUAGGCAAGUGAAGUUGCAGCAACUUUCUUCUCAUCUCCUUGGGCCAUCCCGAGAGCAGUUAUGGCGAAGAUUCUCCGCUUCCACGUGGCAGCUUCAACUUCAUCCUUUUUUGCUGGUGGGGCAGCAGCCACAACGGAGUCGGCGGCCUCGUUGAUGGCCUGAGCUGCCUCAUCCAAGCGCUUAUCGACAGGGGCGAGGAGGGCCUUGUUGAAGCUCUUCUCGACGGGGGCGUCGCAUUCCACUUGCACUAACACGGCCGAUGCCGCGAUGGCUGCAAGGAGUAGGGCGACGGCUUUGGCCAUUGCUAAUGAACUGGACAGGGAUCUUUCAAUGUUGGAAGAUGUUGCUAAUGCGCGUGGAUUUGCUGUGUGAGUUUGUAGGGAUCAUCGGGGCUUUAAAUAGGGAAACACGUACCAUGAUAACCUAAGGCCAAGAGAGCUUUGUGGUCCAAAAUUGAUUGGUUGCAUGCAUGUGUGCCAAGUGUUCGGUCCGUAGUGCAUGCUAUCCCUUGUCUUGACUGAGCCUGCAGGAUCCAAAUCUGGACUUCCACAACCCCGAUAUGAAACUUAUAUGUACGCAAGAUGUUAAUGGCAUAUAACCCAUUGUCCGGUUGGCAAUAGGUACGCGAAUGAGCAUGAACGACGUGUCGAGGGGUGUUGUCAAAGAAAAACAAAGGUAAGAACCACUUUGGCAACAAAUUCGACAAGGUCAUCAGCGAUUCUUAUACGAGUCUACGCAACGGUCACUAAAGUUCCAAUAGCAUGUGAAGCUAUAAACAUAUCAUUCAGGUUCCUAGGCAUCAAACUUCGCCAAUGUUACUUAGGGUGUGUUUGUGAGGAGGGGAAAAGAGAAUAUACGCAAAAAAGGGUGAGUCAUCAGCGUAUGAUUAGUUGAGUGUUAAUUAUUUUAUACCUGAAAAAUGGAUUAGUAGGAUAUUUUAACCAACUUUUGUGUUGAAUUGUCUUGCGAAAAACACACCGUUUAGCAGUUCGAGAAGCGUGUGCGCGGCGAACGAGGGAUUUUUUUCUCCGGAUGCCAAAAAGGCAGCCUUAGAGCGUAUAGAGCAAACGAGAAGUAAAUGUCGUGGACAUCUAUGGUGAAUAUGCCACGUUACUCGCUAAGGGUUACGACGAAGCAGUCGUAUUUGAGAUAGGAAGUGCUUUGCACUUGGACAGCGCCGUGUAUGAUGCUCUUGUUCUAGUUUUAGCCGCUCAUAUGGUACUUAUGGCGGAAAAAAAGACAUGGCGGGUUGUCGUAAGUCCUAAAAAGAAUUCGGAUGAAAAAAUCAUGCCUGUUUUACUGAAGGGCACGCCGAAUAGGGAGCUACGUACAUAAAUAUUUCUUUGGCUAACUCUUUGAAUAUGUCCAGCGGCUGAAACAAGGAGGCUAGCGCAGUUGUGCUAUUGAUUCAAGGCGGUUUGCAACCUAUCUAAAUGCAAGAUGCCUAGGAAGCGGGAUAUUUAACAUGGAGGUUUUGGGCAAACCGAAAGGUCUCGUCACAAGUCCUAUGGUUAUUUUACAUGGAAUCUCGGCAAAUAACAGUCGCCCAACAACAGUCUUAUAUGUGUGCAUAUAUCGAAGCGUUGAUGCACGCAAGCUGGUCCGGUUUAUGUUAUUUCUUACAUAAGAUAUUUUUACUCCAUACUUUUGUUUAAAGAAUCAUUCAAAGGAUUUCAUGGAAAAAAAAAGUUCCGCCAAGUGCCAAGGAUCGACAUUUUGAACUAGAAAUGUUAGAUGGCACCGGAUUAUUUUUUUUCCACCUGGUGCUCUUACAAAUGGAGAGAAUGGAAUGAGUAGAAUUGAUUGCACGACAUUUAUUACAUAAAUAACCGUUGAUACUCGGUACGUGUCCGGUCGUCUACCAAUGUCGGCGGUGUAGCAGUAGACCUUUAUUGAAGGUUGGCGUGUGGCUCAUGAUGCGAUUACCUCCAUAGCAGCCACUUUGAAGGAUUCAUCCAUCAACUUAAACUUGUCAGCUGGGGCGGCAUCGAGGACAGCUUUAGCUGCUUUCUUGUAGGCAAGUGAAGUUGCAGCAACUUUCUUCUCAUCUCCUUGGGCCAUCCCGAGAGCAGCAAAGGCGAACAUUCUCCGCUUCCAGGUGGCAGCUUCAACUUCAUCCUUUUUUGCUGGUGGGGCAGCAGCCACAACGGAGUCGGCGGCCUCGUUGAUGGCCUGAGUUGCCUCAUCCAAGCGCUUAUCGACAGGGGCGAGGAGGGCCUUGUUGAAGCUCUUCUCGACGGGGGCGUCGCAUUCCACUUGCACUAACACGGCCGAUGCCGUGAUGGCUGCAAGGAGUAGGGCGACGGCUUUGGCCAUUGCUAAUUGUCACGCCCGGAAUUUCUAUCCAAAAUUCCAAACGCUUACAUGUGUGUGAACCCUCGUCCAGGAAUCAGCCGAGGCACACAAUAACAAAUUGAUAAUAGAGUACAAUUAUUACUCUAAUUAAUAAGCGAAUAAAAUGUCAUUACAGAGGUAGAUAGUUCCUCUCAAUCAAUAAAGAUCUAAGCAGCGGAAAAUAAAAUAAACGGCGCAGACGGCUCCACUCCACAGGCAGCUUGACCAAGGCUACACCUACUCCUCCACACCAUCAGCCUCAUUGAAGAACUCUUCCUCUGAUGAAUGAUUGCAAGGUGAGUAUAUGACAUACUCAGCAAGCCACGCAGCAAAUAUGCAAGUGCACAGGGUAACAAAGGAUGGCAUAAUAGGGCUCCAUUUGCAAAAAGCAGCAUUUAGCAAACAUUUGAGAAUUUAAAACAGUUAAGUAUUUAAACAAUAUUAAUCCAACACUAUACAACAUACCCUGUUGUAUAGGCCCAUCCAUUCUGAACAACCAUCCCGGCUGCACAGUUCUAUCUCCAAACCAGGAAUAUACCAUUCCAAACCAGGAGCUAAUCAAAUUAUUACCAGUUAUAGCAUCUUCUAUUAUGGUGAGAAGGGUGAGACUAAUCACGAAAGACAUUGUUCGACCCGCCCAUAACCGCGGGCACGGCUAUUCGAAUAGUUUUACUCUGAUCAGAGGUGUACCACUGUACCCACAAGACACAACCCCACAUCAUGUCACCAUGUGCCUCAAUACCACCACGGUACCUCGGAAAGGAGUUGUGACAAUACCCCUCGCAUAACACAAUCCAUUGCAGCGCACCUUCCUGGAUCAUAAUCACCCCCUUAUAAACAAGGCAUGGACUCCCCAGCGACCCCCGUGAGCUUAUCUCCGCCACUUCUCAGUCUGGUGCCCCGCAAUGAACCAUGCUAUACAAAAGAUAAAGCCGUUGCCCAUGCUGGCUUGUGGUUGGCACGAUAAAUGUUUCACAACCGAAACUCGUGAACCGGUCCUUAAUUGUCAUGAGCACGACCAGCAAAACCAUGUGCUCACAACCCACCAUUAUCAGGCUUUAGUUGGCACAUUAAUUAAUUAACUAACCACGAUUGACCAUCGUGAACUAUCAAUAAGCCAUCAUGAAAUAAUAGUGAAUCAUAAGUUAUCCCAAAAGUGAGCUAAUGUUUCUAAGCAGGGCUAAGCAAUUAUACCUAAUAUCUAGUUGAACCAAUAUAAAUAAAGUUCAACCAGUCAAAUUAUUAUAACCCAAGGUAUCAAGGAAUAAGGUAAACAAGAACAAAAGGGCUAUAACAAACAAUAGGUUAUUUCCACCCAAUGACAUUCGAAAAUAAAUGCAAUAGUUGAAAAGAAAUAAUAGCUUUAAAUAGGAUCAACAUGCUCAAAGGGUUGUUUGGGAUCUGUGUGACUUGCCUUGCUGGCCUUGGAACUCUUCAAACUCUUCUCCGGCGAAAACGGACUCUCCGGAAACGACGGAAUCUAAGCAGAAAAGAACAAAAUUACCAAAACAACACAUAAACAAGCAUGAACAGUACGUGUGGAUAUUUUUAAUGUGUAGAUCUCAAUUUUAGAAAAAUUUAGAGACUUGAACCAACUAAAUCGGAGCUAAGAUGAAUUAGUUAUGAAUUUUUAAAGAUUAAAUCGGAUUAAAAACACUUAUAUCGGUUUAAAUUGAAUUAUGACGCAAUAAUGAAUUAUUUUUGAAAAGGAAAAAGGGAUUUAUUGCGUCAGCGGGCUAGGGUUUCGGUGGACCGGGCGCACGGGCGGCGGUUCACGCGAACGGACGGCCGAGAUUCGAUCCAAUCCAAACGGACGGCCGAGAUCGAUCGGGUCCACGGCGGCUCACGGCGGACGACCCUGAUGACGUCAGCGGUGACGUCACCGACAGCGGCGGCGGCUCGGCGGAGCGGACGGCUUGGGCGGCGCACGCUCGCCGACGAACGGCGGCGCGAGGACGCUAACGAAGAGCACCAGCACGUAUAGGACGACGCGGCGAACACACCGGUGACCAAAACGGCGGCGGACGAACAACGGACGACAACAGCGACGAGAAGGAAGCGGCGGAAACCUUCGGGUUGUCGACGGCGACGCUGCUCCGGUGAUCUCCGGCGACGGCGAAGGGGCGAACGAGGACGGCGACGCGACGGCGACCACGAUGACGUCCUUCCCGAGCGACGGCGACGUCUGGAACGGCGGCGGCGCACGGCUGGAGCGGCGGCGACGACGGCAAAGCUAGGGCACACGGCGCUAGAGCUCUUCCGGCGACGAGAGGCAAAGGCGAAGGUGGCGACGGGUAGAGGAGACUCCGGGGGUCCUUUUAAAGGGGCUCGGAGGCGGCGACGAAGGCCCACGGCGACCGGCGACGGCGAAGGAAACCUCGGGCUUGGAGAGAAAGAAACCGAUCCGAAUCGAACUCGAUUCCACGAGCUUCCAAAACGUUUUAGCCGAUGAUUCCAAAGGAGAAAAGGUAGAGGAGAUCCCGGCGAUCAUUUCCCCCCUAUCAAUUCGGCCGGAGAAGGAAAGGAACGGCCGAAUUUGGAAAGGAACGGCGGCGGCGGCUCGGCGGCGGCGCGCUAGGGUUUCGGCCCGAGGAAGACGACGGGCCUGACAGGUGGGACCCACCUGUCAGCGACCGAACGCACGCGCGCGCGGGCGGCUCGGCUGCGGACUGGGCCGACUUGGGCCGGGGGAGAGAGAGAGAGAGUUUUGGGCCGACUUUCGGCCCAAAGCCAAAAGAGAACUUUUAAAACCUUUUUUUCAAUUUAAAUUAUUUCUUAAAUGCAAUUCCAUUUAUUAAAAAUACUUUCUUAGCUCAAAUAAAUCCCAGAAAAAUCUAGGAAUUAUAGAAUUAAGCAAAGUAUUUAAUGAAAUUUUAUCUGGCCCCAUUUUAUAUUGGAAUUUAUUAAUUAAACUUAGAUUUUCUUUUCAACACUUUUAAAAUAAAUUCUAGAAAUUCCAUUUAAACAACAAUUUAUAUAUUUUGAAUUUUCAGGGUGUGACACUAAUGAACUGGACAGGGAUCUUUCAAUGUUGGAAGAUGUUGCUACUGCGCGCGGAUUUGCUGUGUGAGUUUGUAGGGAUCAUCGGGGCUUUAAAUAGGGAAACACGUACCAUGAUAACCUAAGGCCAAGAGAGCUUCAUGGUCCAAAAUUGAUUGGUUGCAUGCAUGUGUGCCAAGUGUUCGGUCCGUAGUGCAUGCUAUCCUUUGUCUUGACUGAGCCUGCAAGAUCCAAAUCUGGACUUCCACAACCCCGAUAUGAAAUUUAUAUGUACGCAAGAUGUUAAGGGCAGAAAACCCAUUGUCCGGUUGGCAAUAGGUACGCGAAUGAGCAUGAACGACGUGUCGAGGGGUGUUGUCAAAGAAAAACAAAGGUAAGAACCACUUUGGCAACAAAUUCGACAAGGUCAUCAGCGAUUCUUAUACGAGUCUACGCAACGGUCACUAAAGUUCCAAUAGCAUGUGAAGCUAUAAACAUAUCAUUCAGGUUCCUAGGCAUCAAACUUCGCCAAUGUUACUUACGGUGUGUUUGUGAGGAGGGGAAAAGAGAAUAUACGCAAAAAAGGGUGAGUCAUCAGCGUAUGAUUAGUUGAGUGUUAAUUAUUUUAUACCUUAAAAAUUGAUUAGUAGGAUAUUUUAACCAACUUUUGUACCGAAUUGUCUUGCGAAAAACACACCGUUUAGCAGUUCGAGAAGCGUGCGCGCGGCGAACGAGGGAUUUUUUUUCUCCGGAUGCCAAAAACGCAGCCUUAGAGCGUAUAUAGCAAAGGAGAAGUAAAUGUCGAGGACAUCGAUGGUGAAUAUGCCACGUUACUCGCUAAGGGUUACGACGAAGCAGUCGUAUUUGAGAUAGGAAGUGCUUUGCACUUGGACGGCGCCGGGUAUGAUGCUCUUGUUCUAGUUUUAGCCGCUCAUAUGGUACUUAUGGCGGAAAAAAAGACAUGGCGGGUUGUCGUAAGUCCUAAAAAGAAUUCGGAUGAAAAAUUCAUGCCCGUUUUACUGAAGGGCACGCCGAAUAGGGAGCUACGUACAUAAAUAUUUCUUUGGCUAACUCUUUGAAUAGGUCCAGCGGCUGAAACAAGGAGGCUAGCACAGUUGUGCUUUUGAUUCAAGGCGGUUUGCAACCUAUCUAAAUGCAAGAUGCCUAGGAAGCGGGAUAUUUGACAUGGAGGUUUUGGGCAAACCGAAAGAUCUCGUCACAAGUCCUAUGGUUAUUUUACAUGGAAUCUCGGCAAAUAACAGCCGCCCAACAACAGUCUUAUAUGUGUGCAUAUAUCGAAGCGUUGAUGCACGCAAGCUGGUCCGGUUUAUGUUAUUUCUUACAUAAGAUAUUUUUACUCCAUACUUUUGUUUAAAGAAUCAUUCAAAGGAUUUCAUGGAAAAAAAAAAGUUCCGCCAAGUGCCAAGGAUCGACAUUUUGAACUAGAAAUGUUAGAUGGCACCGGAUUAUUUUUUUUCCACCUGGUGCUCUUACAAAUGGAGAGAAUGGAAUGAGUAGAAUUGAUUGCACGACAUUUAUUACAUAAAUAACCGUUGAUACUCGGUACAUGUCCGGUCGUCUACCAAUGUCGGCGGUGUAGCAGUAGACCUUUAUUGAAGGUUGGCGUGUGGCUCAUGAUGCGAUUACCUCCAUAGCAGCCACUUUGAAGGAUUCAUCCAUCAACUUAAACUUGUCAGCUGGGGCUGCAUCGAGGACAGCUUUAGCUGCUUUCUUGUAGGCAAGUGAAGUUGCAGCAACUUUCUUCUCAUCUCCUUGGGCCAUCCCGAGAGCAGCAAAGGCGAACAUUCUCCGCUUCCACGUGGCAGCUUCAACUUCAUCCUUUUUUGCUGGUGGGGCAGCAGCCACAACGGAGUCGGCGGCCUCGUUGAUGGCCUGAGUUGCCUCAUCCAAGCGCUUAUCGACAGGGGCGAGGAGGGCCUUGUUGAAGCUCUUCUCGACGGGGGCGUCGCAUUCCACUUGCACUAACACGGCCGAUGCCGCGAUGGCUGCAAGGAGUAGGGCGACGGCUUUGGCCAUUGCUAAUGAACUGGACAGGGAUCUUUCAAUGUUGGAAGAUGUUGCUACUGCGCGCGGAUUUGCUGUGUGAGUUUGUAGGGAUCAUCGGGGCUUUAAAUAGGGAAACACGUACCAUGAUAACCUAAGGCCAAGAGAGCUUCAUGGUCCAAAAUUGAUUGGUUGCAUGCAUGUGUGCCAAGUGUUCGGUCCGUAGUGCAUGCUAUCCUUUGUCUUGACUGAGCCUGCAAGAUCCAAAUCUGGACUUCCACAACCCCGAUAUGAAAUUUAUAUGUACGCAAGAUGUUAAGGGCAGAAAACCCAUUGUCCGGUUGGCAAUAGGUACGCGAAUGAGCAUGAACGACGUGUCGAGGGGUGUUGUCAAAGAAAAACAAAGGUAAGAACCACUUUGGCAACAAAUUCGACAAGGUCAUCAGCGAUUCUUAUACGAGUCUACGCAACGGUCACUAAAGUUCCAAUAGCAUGUGAAGCUAUAAACAUAUCAUUCAGGUUCCUAGGCAUCAAACUUCGCCAAUGUUACUUACGGUGUGUUUGUGAGGAGGGGAAAAGAGAAUAUACGCAAAAAAGGGUGAGUCAUCAGCGUAUGAUUAGUUGAGUGUUAAUUAUUUUAUACCUUAAAAAUGGAUUAGUAGGAUUUUUUAACCAACUUUUGUAUCGAAUUGUCUUGCGAAAAACACACCGUUUAGCAGUUCGAGAAGCGUGCGCGCGGCGAACGAGGGAUUUUUUUCUCCGGAUGCCAAAAAGGCAGCCUUAGAGCGUAUAGAGUGUCACACCCUGAUUUUCGUCUUAGGAUUUAUAAAUUAUUUAAUAAAUUAUUAAUAGAAUUUAUAUGAAAUGUUCAAUAAUUUGCAAGUGAAGUUAAUUGUGGGAAAUAAAAUUUCCUAAAUUUAAAGCAUGGAUGGAUUUAAUUUUUAUUAAAUUCUCCAUGAUUAAUUAUACUCUCUGGAAUUUUCUCGGAUUUUUCGGAGCUCAAUUCCUAAAUGAUACAAAGAACAUUUCAGUAAUUAUUUGAUCAAUAAUGAUCUAAUUAUAAUUGUUAAGAGUUUUUCUUGUUUAAAAUCCUUAAAUUAUAAAUUGUUGUUUAAAAGGAAUUAUUAGAAAUAAUUUUAAAAGCUUAAAAGAGAAGAUCUAAUUUUAAUUUGCUAAAUCUCAAUAUAAAAUUGAGCUAGAUAAAAUUUUAUUAAAUACUUUGCUUGUUCCUCUAUUUUCUAGAAUUUUCUGGGAAUUAUUUGAGCAAGGGAAGUAUUUUUAAUAAAUGAAACAACAUUUCACAAAUUAUUUUAAUUGAAGAAAGUUCAAAAAACCCCUUCCUAAGCCGUUGGGCCGAAUUCGGCCCAACUCUCUCUCUCUCCCGCGCGGCCCAAGCCGGCCCAGCCGAGCCGCCCGCCCUCUCCUCCUCCAGCCGCCGACAUGUGGGGCCCACAUGUCGGACCUCUCUUCAACCUCCGGCCGGCUGCCAUGCCGAGCCCGACCGAGCCGCCUUCCGCCUCCAAAUCCACCCCAAUCCGGUCUCCUCGUGUCCGAUUGAUUGAGGGGUUUUGAUCCUCUCGUUCUCCUCUAUCUUUCCCCUCAAGAAACGGAGCAAUCCGUUGAGUAUCCUAUCCGAAUCAAACUCGUUUUCGAGUUUAUCUCCAAAACCGAGUUUUGAUUUUCUUGGAUCGAUUUCUCUCGUUUGGAGUCCGAUCUCUUCAAUCCAAUGCUAUAUAUAGGACCACCUCGUCGCCCUCUUUCGUUUGCCCCCUCUCCCGUGGUCUCCCGUGCCUCCUAGCCGCCGCGCCGCCGCCUUUUAGCCCGCCGCCGCCGCCGGCCGUCUUCAGCCGCGUCGCGCCGCCGUUUGCGCCGUCGCCGCCGCUUGCCGCCGCCGCCGUUAGGUGCACCGUGGUGAGGAGAACCUCGGCCGCCUGUCCCUCUUCGCCGCCGACCACCGGAGCUCCGCCGUCGCCGUCAACCCGAACCGCCGCCACCGUCCUCUUCGUCGCCGGCCGUCGUCGGUCAUCGGUAGACGUUGUGGUGAGUACCGUUGGGUUCGCCUCGUCGUCCUCUACGCGUAGGUGUCCUCCAAUCACCCGGCCAAGGUCCCUAGCUCCGGCGAGGUCGCCGUCCGAGUCGGCCGACCUGUGGCUGCCUUGGGUGACGUCAUGCUGACGUCAUCAUCCUUUCUUUUUUUUUUUCCUAAUAGAUUAAAUCUUCUGAAAAUCAUAACUAAAUCAUCGUAACUCAGUUUAAUGUGGUUCAAGUUGCAAAAGUUGUAUAAAAUAAAGAUAUACAUAUUAAAAUUGUCCAUAAAUUGAAUUAAAUUUAUUUAAUUCUUUUUAAAUGGGCUUUAAUUAGAUUUAAUCUUGUAAAACUCAUAAUAAAUUCAUUUGAAGUCAGAAUGAGGCUGUUCAAGUCUCAUAAUUCAUCUAAAAUUAUGAUCUACGUGUUUGUUUACUUUAUAUGUAUUGUUUAUUUGGUUUUUAUUAGUCUUUUACUUCGUUUUGCGUGUUAGCUUGUUGUUUCCGUCGUUGCGAAGGUUCGCGAGUGCGUCGGAAGUGAUCAAGAAGAUUAAUUGAAGACCGAUUAUUGCAAGGCAAGUCACACAGAUCCUAAACACAAUCCUUUGAGCAUGUUGAUCCUAUAUUUAAAUUCUCUAUUUAUUUCAACUGUGCAUUUAUUUUCGAAUGUCACCGGGUGGUGUGAACCUAUUCCUUUGUUAAGGCCAAUUUGCAUUGAAUGCCCUAUUCCUUGAUACCUUGGGUAAUAAAUUGAUUAGCUUGAACCUUAUGUAUUGGUUUGGUUCAGCUAAAUGUUAUAUAUAUAAUUGCUUAGCAAUGCUUAGAAACAUUAGCUCACUAAUGGGAUGAAUCAUAUAUACUACAUUAUUAUUCAUGGUUAUAUUUAAUGGUAGCUCACGAUGGUUAAUCGUGUUAUGAUAAUUAAUUGGUAAUUAAAAUAUGAUUAAUGGUGGGUUGUGAGCAUAUGGUUUUGAAGGUCGUGCUCAUGGCAAUUAAGGACCGGUUCGCGAGCUACUGUUGUGAAACAUUUACCGUGCCAACCACAAGCCAGCAUGGGCAACGGCUUUAUCUUUUGUAUAGCGUGAUUCAUUAUAGUGCGCCAGACUGAGAACUGGCGAGAAGUCCACGGGGGUCGCUGGGGAGUCCAUGCCUUGUUUUAUAAGGGAGUGAUUAUGAUCCAGGAAAGGUGCGCUGUAAUGGGUUAUGUUGUGCAAGGGGUAUUGUCACAACUCCUUUCCGAGGUACCGUGGUGGUACUGAGGCACAUGGUGACAUGAUGUGGGGUUGUGUCUUGUGGGUACAGUGGUACACCUCUGGCCAGAGUUUAAUCUAUUCGAAUAGCCGUGCCCGCGGUUAUGGGCGAGUUGAGCAAUGUUUUUCAUGAUUAGUCUCACACCUCUCACAAUAAUUAUUGAUGGUUAUAACUGGUAAUGAUUUGCUUAGCUCCUGGUUUGGAGUUAGAUCUGUACAGCCGGGAAUGGUUGUUCAGGAUGGUUGGGCCUGAGCAGCAUGGGUGUGCUGUUCAGUGUUGAUUAAGAUUGAUGAUUAAUUACUCUACUGUUUUACUUAUCUUAAAUCUUUGCUAAAUGCUGCUUUUGCAAAUGAGCCUAUAUUAUGCCAUCCUUUGGAAUCCUUGUGCACUUGCAUAUUUGCUGUGUGGCUUGUUGAGUAUGUCAUAUGCUCAUUCUUGCAAUAAUCAAUCAACCUCAGUUGAAGAAAAAGGAUCCAGAAGGAGAAGACGUUUGGCUUAUACCCCAGUUGAGCUGCCUGUGGGAGUGGAGCCGGAGCUUCGCUAGAUUUUAUUUUCCGCUGCAGUUUUCUUCAUGGUGAGGACUAAGUGCCUCUUAAGUAAGUAUAUAUCGGUUUAGUUAUUAUGAUGGAUUUGUAUAUUAAAUUGUCAGUUUGUGUACCUCGGCUGAUUCCUGGACGAGGAUUUUAUGCACAAAUAAGUUCGGAAAUUACUAGUGAAUUUCCGGGCGUGACAUAGAGCAAAGGAGAAGUAAAUGUCGAGGACAUCUAUGGUGAAUAUGCCACGUUACUCGCUAAGGGUUACGACGAAGCAGUCGUAUUUGAGAUAGGAAGUGCUUUGCACUUGGACAGCGCCGGGUAUGAUGCUCUUGUUCUAGUUUUAGCCGCUCAUAUGGUACUUAUGGCGGAAAAAAAGACAUGGCGGGUUGUCGUAAGUCCUAAAAAGAAUUCGGAUGAAAAAAUCAUGCCCGUUUUACUGAAGGGCACGCCGAAUAGGGAGCUACGUACAUAAAUAUUUCUUUGGCUAACUCUUUGAAUAGGUCCAGCGGCUGAAACAAGGAGGCUAGCGCAGUUGUGCUAUUGAUUCAAGGCGGUUUGCAACCUAUCUAAAUGCAAGAUGCCUAGGAAGCGGGAUAUUUAACAUGGAGGUUUUGGGCAAACCGAAAGGUCUCGUCACAAGUCCUAUGGUUAUUUUACAUGGAAUCUCGGCAAAUAACAGUCGCCCAACAACAGUCUUAUAUGUGUGCAUAUAUCGAAGCGUUGAUGCACGCAAGCUGGUCCGGUUUAUGUUAUUUCUUACAUAAGAUAUUUUUACUCCAUACUUUUGUUUAAAGAAUCAUUCAAAGGAUUUCAUGGAAAAAAAAAAGUUCCGCCAAGUGCCAAGGAUCGACAUUUUGAACUAGAAAUGUUAGAUGGCACCGGAUUAUUUUUUUCCCCCUGGUGCUCUUACAAAUGGAGAGAAUGGAAUGAGUAGAAUUGAUUGCACGACAUUUAUUACAUAAAUAACCGUUGAUACUCGGUACGUGUCCGGUCGUCUACCAAUGUCGGCGAUGUAGUAGUAGACCUUUAUUGAUGGUUGGCGUGUGGCUCAUGAUGCGAUUACCUGCAUAACAGCCACUUUGAAGGAUUCAUCCAUCAACUUAAACUUGUCAGCUGGGGCGGCAUCGAGGACAGCUUUAGCUGCUUUCUUGUAGGCAAGUGAAGUUGCAGCAACUUUCUUCUCAUCUCCUUGGGCCAUCCCGAGAGCAGUUAUGGCGAAGAUUCUCCGCUUCCACGUGGCAGCUUCAACUUCAUCCUUUUUUGCUGGUGGGGCAGCAGCCACAACGGAGUCGGCGGCCUCGUUGAUGGCCUGAGCUGCCUCAUCCAAGCGCUUAUCGACAGGGGCGAGGAGGGCCUUGUUGAAGCUCUUCUCGACGGGGGCGUCGCAUUCCACUUGCACUAACACGGCCGAUGCCGCGAUGGCUGCAAGGAGUAGGGCGACGGCUUUGGCCAUUGCUAAUGAACUGGACAGGGAUCUUUCAAUGUUGGAAGAUGUUGCUACAGCGUGCGGAUUUGCUGUGUGAGUUUGUAGGGAUCAUCGGGGCUUUAAAUAGGGAAACAUGUACCAUGAUAACCAAAGGCCAAGAGAGCUUCAUGGUCCAAAAUUGAUUGGUUGCAUGCAUGUGUGCCAAGUGUUCGGUCCGCAGUGCAUGCUAUCUCUUGUCUUGACUGAGCCUGCAGGAUCCAAAUCUGGACUUCCACAACCCCGAUAUGAAAUUUAUAUGUACGCAAGAUGUUAAUGGCUUAUAACACAUUGUCCGGUUGGCAAUAGGUACGCGAAUGAGCAUGAACGACGUGUCGAGGGGUGUUGUCAAAGAAAAACAAAGGUAAGAACCACUUUGGCAACAAAUUCGACAAGGUCAUCAGCGAUUCUUAUAUGAGUCUACGCAACGGUCACUAAAGUUCCAAUAGCAUGUGAAGCUAUAAACAUAUCAUUCAGGUUCCUAGGCAUCAAACUUCGCUAAUGUUACUUAGGGUGUGUUUGUGAGGAGGGGAAAAGAGAAUAUACGCAAAAAAGGUGAGUCAUCACCGUAUGAUUAGUUGAGUGUUAAUUAUUUUAUACCUGAAAAAUGGAUUAGUAGGAUUUUUUAACCAACUUUUGUGUUGAAUUGUCUUGCGAAAAACACACCGUUUAGCAGUUCGAGAAGCGUGCGCGUGGCGAACAAGGGAUUUUUUUCUCCGGAUGCCAAAAAGGCAGCCUUAGAGCGUAUAUAGCAAAGGAGAAGUAAAUGUCGUGGACAUCUAUGGUGAAUAUGCCACGUUACUCGCUAAGGGUUACGACGAAGCAGUCGUAUUUGAGAUAGGAAGUGCUUUGCACUUGGACAGCGCCGGGUAUGAUGCUCUUGUUCUAGUUUUAGCCGCUCAUAUGGUACUUAUGGCGGGAAAAAAGACAUGGCGGGUUGUCGUAAGUCCUAAAAAGAAUUCGGAUGAAAAAAUCAUGCCCGUUUUACUGAAAGGGCACGCCGAAUAGGGAGCUACGUACAUAAAUAUUUCUUUGGCUAACUCUUUGAAUAGGUCCAGCGGCUGAAACAAGGAGGCUAGCGCAGUUGUGCUAUUGAUUCAAGGCGGUUUGCAACCUAUCUAAAUGCAAGAUGCCUAGGAAGCGGGAUAUUUAACAUGAAGGUUUUGGGCAAACCGAAAGGUCUCGUCACAAGUCCUAUGGUUAUUUUACAUGGAAUCUCGGCAAAUAACAGUCGCCCAACAACAGUCUUAUAUGUGUGCAUAUAUCGAAGCGUUGAUGAACGCAAGCUGGUCCGGAUUAUGUUAUUUCUUACAUAAGACAUUUUUACUCCAUACUUUUGUUUAAAGAAUCAUUCAAAGGAUUUCAUGGAAAAAAAAAGUUCCGCCAAGUGCCAAGGAUCGACAUUUUGAACUAGAAAUGUUAGAUGGCACCGGAUUAUUUUUUUCCCCCCUGGUGCUCUUACAAAUGGAGAGAAUGGAAUGAGUUGCACGACAUUUAUUACAUAAAUAACCGUUGAUACUCGGUACGUGUCCAGUCGUCUACCAAUGUCGGCGAUGUAGUAGUAGACCUUUAUUGAUGGUUGGCGUGUGGCUCAUGAUGCGAUUACCUGCAUAACAGCCACUUUGAAGGAUUCAUCCAUCAACUUAAACUUGUCAGCUGGGGCGGCAUCGAGGACAGCUUUAGCUGCUUUCUUGUAGGCAAGUGAAGUUGCAGCAACUUUCUUCUCAUCUCCUUGGGCCAUCCCGAGAGCAGUUAUGGCGAAGAUUCUCCGCUUCCACGUGGCAG